rnacentral:rRNA from 1 species
GUCCCAGCCGUAAACGAUGUAGAUUAGGUGUCGGGGAGUCGAACCCUUCGGUGCCGCAGUUAACACAUUAAAUCUACCACCUGGGGAGUACGGUCGCAAGACUGAAACUCAAAGAAAUUGACGGGGACCCGCACAAGCGGUGGAGCAUGUGGUUUAAUUCGAGGCUACGCGAGGAACCUUACCUAGGCUUGACAUGUUAGCAGUAGGUGGGAUGAAAGUUCCGCCGACCGUAUCCAAUCGGAGGCUUACACAGGUGCUGCAUGGCUGUCGU